AGAUCAGUAAUGGCUAGCGCCUCCAGUACAACCCCCAUAUCAAACGAAGAACGAAGAUGGGUUGUCAUUGGUGUAUGUUUGACCAAAGUGCUCACUCCUGCGUUGAGAAAUGUUGUUGCAACUGAAAUACCAAAGUGGCAUCAACUUUUAUGUCAACCACCGACCGAAAUCGACAAACAAGUUUUUGGUGGACACCAGAAAAAGUUACACCCAUCAACUUUGAACCUCAACUAUAAAAGUAUCAACAACAAUGAUGCCAUUGGAUCACCUCGUGCAUUUGAUUAUGCAGUCAAAGACCCAUUGUCUUUGGCAAAGUUAUUUAUUCAACCAUUCAUGUCCAAGUUCACUGGCUUCGAUCAAACAAUGGACAUAUCUGCAGUCUUACCAGUGAUUUGUGAAGCUGCUCCAUUUGUAAGAGCUGCUGCCCAUGCAAAGACAGUUCGAUCAGAUAUCAGAAACGAGUGGGCACAUUGCAACUUUGCUGAAUGGACUGAAGCAAAAUUUAAAGCUGCUUUUCAAAAUAUGGAAUUUUUACUGAAGAAUGUGAAUCUGUCACCUGCUGAU